UACGUAGGGGCAAGCGUUGUCCGGAAUCAUUGGGCGUAAAGAGCGUGUAGGCGGUUCGGUAAGUCGGCUGUGAAAGUCCAGGGCUCAACCCUGGGAUGCCGGUCGAUACUGCCGGACUAGAGUCCGGAAGAGGAGAGUGGAAUUCCGUGGUGUAGCGGUGAAAUGCGCAGAUAUCAGGAAGAACACCCGUGGCGAAGGCGGCUCUCUGGGACGGUACUGACGCUGAGACGCGAAAGCGUGGGGAGCGAACAGG
rnacentral:rRNA from 1 species